ACACGUGAGUAACCUGCCCCCGACUCUGGGAUAAGCCCGGGAAACUGGGUCUAAUACCGGAUAUGACCUCGCACCGCAUGGUGCGGGGUGGAAAGAUUUAUCGGUGGGGGAUGGACUCGCGGCCUAUCAGCUUGUUGGUGAGGUAAUGGCUCACCAAGGCGACGACGGGUAGCCGGCCUGAGAGGGUGACCGGCCACACUGGGACUGAGACACGGCCCAGACUCCUACGGGAGGCAGCAGUGGGGAAUAUUGCACAAUGGGCGAAAGCCUGAUGCAGCGACGCCGCGUGAGGGAUGACGGCCUUCGGGUUGUAAACCUCUUUCAGUAGGGAAGAAGCGAAAGUGACGGUACCUGCAGAAGAAGCGCCGGCUAACUACGUGCCAGCAGCCGCGGUAAUACGUAGGGCGCAAGCGUUAUCCGGAUUUAUUGGGCGUAAAGAGCUCGUAGGCGGUUUGUCGCGUCUGCCGUGAAAGUCCGAGGCUCAACCUCGGAUCUGCGGUGGGUACGGGCAGACUAGAGUGAUGUAGGGGAGACUGGAAUUCCUGGUGUAGCGGUGAAAUGCGCAGAUAUCAGGAGGAACACCGAUGGCGAAGGCAGGUCUCUGGGCAUUUACUGACGCUGAGGAGCGAAAGCAUGGGGAGCGAACAGGAUUAGAUACCCUGGUAGUCCAUGCCGUAAACGUUGGGCACUAGGUGUGGGGGACAUUCCACGUUUUCCGCGCCGUAGCUAACGCAUUAAGUGCCCCGCCUGGGGAGUACGGCCGCAAGGCUAAAACUCAAAGGAAUUGACGGGGGCCCGCACAAGCGGCGGAGCAUGCGGAUUAAUUCGAUGCAACGCGAAGAACCUUACCAAGGCUUGACAUGUGCCAGACCGCCUCAGAGAUGGGGUUUCCCUUCGGGGCUGGUUCACAGGUGGUGCAUGGUUGUCGUCAGCUCGUGUCGUGAGAUGUUGGGUUAAGUCCCGCAACGAGCGCAACCCUCGUUCCAUGUUGCCAGCACGUAGUGGUGGGGACUCAUGGGAGACUGCCGGGGUCAACUCGGAGGAAGGUGGGGAUGACGUCAAAUCAUCAUGCCCCUUAUGUCUUGGGCUUCACGCAUGCUACAAUGGCCGGUACAAUGGGUUGCGAUACUGUGAGGUGGAGCUAAUCCCUAAAAGCCGGUCUCAGUUCGGAUUGGGGUCUGCAACUCGACCCCAUGAAGUCGGAGUCGCUAGUAAUCGCAGAUCAGCAACGCUGCGGUGAAUACGUUCCCGGGCCUUGUACACACCGCCCGUCAAGUCAU
rnacentral:rRNA from 1 species